rnacentral:rRNA from 1 species
GAUGAACUCUUUCUACGGGCUUAACACAUGCAAGUCGAGGGGAAACGACAUCGAAAGCUUGCUUUUGAUGGGCGUCGACCGGCUCUCGGGUGAGUAACGCGUAUCCAACCUGCCCACCACUUGGGGAUAACCUUGCGAAAGUAAAACUAAUACCCAAUGACGUCUCUAAAAGACAUCUGAAAGAGAUUAAAGAUUUAUCGGUGAUGGAUGGGGAUGCGUCUGAUUAGCUUGUUGGCGGGGUAACGGCCCACCAAGGCAACGAUCAGUAGGGGUUCUGAGAGGAAGGUCCCCCACAUUGGAACUGAGGCACGGUCCAAACUCCUACGGGAGGCAGCAGUGAGGAAUAUUGGUCAAUGGACGAGAGUCUGAACCAGCCAAGUAGCGUGCAGGAAGACGGCCCUAUGGGUUGUAAACUGCUUUUAUAAGGGAAUAAAGUGAGUCUCGUGAGACUUUUUGCAUGUACCUUAUGAAUAAGGACCGGCUAAUUCCGUGCCAGCAGCCGCGGUAAUACGGAAGGUCCGGGCGUUAUCCGGAUUUAUUGGGUUUAAAGGGAGCGUAGGCCGGAGAUUAAGCGUGUUGUGAAAUGUAGAUGCUCAACAUCUGAACUGCAGCGCGAACUGGUUUCCUUGAGUACGCACAAAGUGGGCGGAAUUCGUGGUGUAGCGGUGAAAUGCUUAGAUAUCACGAAGAACUCCGAUUGCGAAGGCAGCUCACUGGAGCGCAACUGACGCUGAAGCUCGAAAGUGCGGGUAUCGAACAGGAUUAGAUACCCUGGUAGUCCGCACGGUAAACGAUGGAUGCCCGCUGUUGGUCUGAAUAGGUCAGCGGCCAAGCGAAAGCAUUAAGCAUCCCACCUGGGGAGUACGCCGGCAACGGUGAAACUCAAAGGAAUUGACGGGGACCCGCACAAGCGGUGGAGCAUGUGGUUUAAUUCGAAGCAACGCGAAGAACCUUACCAAGUCUUGACAUCCUUCUGACCGGACAGUAACGUGUCCAUCCCUUCGGGGCAGGAGAGACAGGUGGUGCAUGGUUGUCGUCAGCUCGUGUCGUGAGAUGUUGGGUUAAGUCCCGCAACGAGCGCAACCCUUAUCCUCAGUAGCCAGCAGUAAGAUGGGCACUCUGAGGAGACUGCCAGGGAUAACCUGGAGGAAGGUGGGGAUGACGUCAAAUCAUCAUGCCCCUUAUGAUUUGGGCUACACACGUGCUACAAUGGCGUAAACAAAGGGAAGCGAGAGGGCGACCUGGAGCAAAUCCCAAAAAUAACGUCCCAGUUCGGACUGUAGUCUGCAACCCGACUACACGAAGCUGGAAUCGCUAGUAAUCGCAGAUCAGAAUGCUGCGGUGAAUACGUUCCCGGGUCUUGCACU